CAAGAGGUGGAAGCUUACACCCAAAUAUUUUGCCUGAACAAUGGCUCCUUGUUUUAUUUCUCAGUUAAGAAAAAUGCCCAGGGACUGGCCAGGAUAAGCAGUUCUUACCUCAUACUCAUCCACCUGGCCAAGCAGCAAUGUUCAGCUCUGUGGACACUGACAGCAAGAGGAGGGGAACAUUAAGAAAACCUUGCCAGGCUAAGCAAUUCCAGGCAGCCUUCAGCCGCCACCACCGGUGAUGAAUCACAGAGGCUGCUGCCAGAGAUGGGACAUUUUGGGACUCUGCACAUACAACUUAAGACACAGGAUGGGAGUGGAGGUGAGAAAGAGAAGACAUAAGAUCUGUCCAGGGCAAAGGAUUCAAAGGUCACCAGGACUACACUCACCUCCUGAGACCUGGUGACAGCAAAAACAUUUCCUCGACGUGACUUCUAUUUGGAAGUUGAGGAGACAGUUCAGCCACCUUGUAGAGUAUUUUGCAUCAGCGAAUGCUCCCUGGCCUGACACACUCACAAACUCUGACCCAUUUUGAUAACCUCCCCUCAACCAAAAAAGAGCGCACUUUCACCAGCCCCUGAAAAUCUCCCAAUGAAGUUAUCUUUUUAUUGUCUCUGGUCUGAAGACAGAUGCAGUGCCACUUGUCUCUUCAGACGCCAGUAUCUCAAUGCCCCUCUUCACCCAUGCCACACCCAGCCUACCAGGUCUCAUCUCAUCGAAAAAUAAACAACAAUAACAGCAACCCUCCCGCCCCCAAGCAUUCUAAUCAAAUACUGCCUCUAUAUGCUAUUCAGAUUGCU
rnacentral:lncRNA from 1 species